GAUUCCCUGCCUGGUUCGUGAUUGACCCGUAACGUUUUCGAACCUAUUUGUUUUGAACGGGAGUUUCCUCUGUAGGUGGUGUGCAUGCCCAAUUUUAUUGGGAAGCCUAAAACCUUUAUGAGACGCCCACCUAAGGGUCUUGGUUCAAAACGUGUGGUACUAACGACUUAUGGUGGGGUUUUU
rnacentral:other from 1 species